GACGAACGCUGGCGGCGUGCUUAACACAUGCAAGUCGAACGGAAAGGCUCUGCUUUUGUGGGGUGCUCGAGUGGCGAACGGGUGAGUAACACGUGAGUAACCUGCCCUUGACUUUGGGAUAACUUCAGGAAACUGGGGCUAAUACCGGAUAGGAGCUCCUGCUGCAUGGUGGGGGUUGGAAAGUUUCGGCGGUUGGGGAUGGACUCGCGGCUUAUCAGCUUGUUGGUGGGGUAGUGGCUUACCAAGGCUUUGACGGGUAGCCGGCCUGAGAGGGUGACCGGCCACAUGGGGACUGAGAUACGGCCCAGACUCCUACGGGAGGCAGCAGUGGGGAAUAUUGCACAAUGGGCGGAAGCCUGAUGCAGCAACGCCGCGUGCGGGAUGACGGCCUUCGGGUUGUAAACCGCUUUCGCCUGUGACGAAGCGUGAGUGACGGUAAUGGGUAAAGAAGCACAGGCGAACUACGU
rnacentral:rRNA from 1 species